AAGAUUCUGCCACCGGGUAGAAACAUGCGAAAGCAUUCGCUACACAUCGUUAGGUCUUGGAAGAUGUGUAUGCGGAUGCUUAUUUUUUU
rnacentral:ncRNA from 1 species